GUUCACCUGGAAGAGAUUGUUGAGAGAGUGCAACAAGCAAAAUUGUAAUUUUUGCGUCUCAUGGUAUAUCAAUCUCCUUUCGCUCUCCAUCUUCAACCUCGAAGAACCCUAGAAAUUAUUCUUGUGAGAUAGAACCAAAAAAUUCCAGUUGGCAGAAAUCUUAGGGAUUUCUCAAUCUAUUGAAAGGAAAGGUCAAGAAUAAAUGCACAUAUGAAUUUGGGGAAUUAUACGCGCCACCCCUCUAUAUUGCCUUGUUU
rnacentral:lncRNA from 1 species